GAGAGAGAUGGAAGUGCUUCAGAUAACAAUGCAGUAGCUAGCUUUGUAGCUGAUAAAGCCUUGUGAGCUAGUACAACCACAUCACAAGGCGGCUCAACGUCUUCUAAGGGAGAUAUAAUAGUUGGCAAUUGCUUUUCAGCUGUUAAAGGAGAUACCAACCUGCAAAAUAACAAAGGUAGCAUCAUUUAGGAAACUGAAAAGGUUUGAUUAAAGACUAGCUUAUUAAACGCACCUGAGACGUUCUGUCUUCGCUUAAAGCAUGUGACUCUUCUCG
rnacentral:lncRNA from 1 species